rnacentral:lncRNA from 1 species
AGGAUGAUAAAUCCCUUGAAUUGGUGUAAAGAAAUUAGCCACUCAUAAUCAUGGCUUCCAAUCACCAAAACAAAGAAUAAAGAACAAAACCCUAGAUUAAUAGAUGAACUAAGAGAAGAAAAAUGUGCCUCCUAGCUGCUGUAACACCUCCAAAAGGAAAAAGAAUCCCUAAUCAAUUGGGAAAAUUCAAAGAAAAAAAAUAAACAGUCAACAGAAAUCUUUAUUAUUCUGAUUUCUCUCCCAUUUUGCAGCAACUUCCUUUUCGAAUCUAAUUCUGACUUCUUCAACAAACUUGCAGAUCUCCUUCUCAUCUUUCUAACGAACUAAGGCUCG